AACAAGGCCUUUACUGACGCUAAAGCUCGAAGGUGCGGGUAUCGAACAGGAUUAGAUACCCUGGUAGUCCGCACGGUAAACGAUGGAUGCCCGCUGUUCGCGAUAUACGGUGAGCGGCCAAGAGAAAUCGUUAAGCAUCCCACCUGGGGAGUACGCCGGCAACGGUGAAACUCAAAGGAAUUGACGGGGGCCCGCACAAGCGGAGGAACAUGUGGUUUAAUUCGAUGAUACGCGAGGAACCUUACCCGGGCUUGAACUGCAGGAGAAGGAUACAGAGAUGUUGACGCCCUUCGGGGCUCCUGUGGAGGUGCUGCAUGGUUGUCGUCAGCUCGUGCCGUGAGGUGUCGGCUUAAGUGCCAUAACGAGCGCAACCCUUUUCGUCAGUUGCCAUCAGGUGAUGCUGGGCACUCUGGCGACACUGCCACCGUAAGGUGUGAGGAAGGUGGGGAUGACGUCAAAUCAGCACGGCCCUUACGUCCGGGGCUACACACGUGUUACAAUGGGGCAUACAGAAGGCCGGUCGCCCGCAAGAGCGAUCCAAUCUAAAAAGUGUCCCUCAGUUCGGAUUGGGGUCUGCAACCCGACCCCAUGAAGCUGGAUU
rnacentral:rRNA from 1 species